AAACUAGGGAUUAGAUACCCUAUUAUACCAGUUUUAGAAGAUUUUACUUGGGUAGUAAUGAGAUAAGAGCUUGAAAUCUAAAGAAUUUGGCGGUAUCUUAGUCUAUUUAGAGGAACCUGUUCUAUAAGCGAUAAACCACGUAGUAUCUUACUUUAUCUUGUGUUAGUUUGUAUACCGCCAUAAUCUGACUUUAUUUUAAAAUAAACUUCUAAAUAGGGACUGAUUUAGAACAUUAGGUCAAGGUGCAGCUCAUGGUAAAGUAGUUAAUGGGUUACAAUAUAAUUUAUAUAAAAUGAAAAAGGAAUUGAAACUAUUUCUUGGAAGGAGGAUUUAAUAGUAAUGUUAAAUUUAAUAAGAUAACAUGAAUUUGCCCUAAGGUAUGUACACAUCGCCCCGCUCUUA
rnacentral:rRNA from 1 species